UACGUAGGUGGCAAGCGUUGUCCGGAAUUAUUGGGCGUAAAGCGCGCGCAGGCGGUCCUUUAAGUCUGAUGUGAAAGCCCACGGCUCAACCGUGGAGGGUCAUUGGAAACUGGGGGACUUGAGUGCAGGAGAGAAGAGUGGAAUUCCACGUGUAGCGGUGAAAUGCGUAGAGAUGUGGAGGAACACCAGUGGCGAAGGCGGGUUGCUGGGCUGAUACUGACGCUGAGGCGCGAAAGCCAGGGGAGCGAACGGG
rnacentral:rRNA from 1 species